UUAAGCUCCAGCUUAGUGGUAGAGCAUCUGUUUUGCAUAUAGAAGGUCUCAGGUUCAAUUCCCAGUGGCAAAU